UACGUAGGUGGCAAGCGUUGUCCGGAAUUACUGGGUGUAAAGCGCGUGUAGGCGGCAGACCAAGUCGGCGGUGAAAGCGCCCGGCUCAACUGGGCGAGGUCCGUGGAAACUGGUCAGCUGGAGGACGGUAGAGGCGAGUGGAAUUCCCGGUGUAGUGGUGAAAUGCGUAGAGAUCGGGAGGAACACCAGUGGCGAAGGCGGCUACCUGGACCAGCACUGACACUGAGGCACGAAAGCGUGGGGAGCAAACAGG
rnacentral:rRNA from 1 species